rnacentral:rRNA from 1 species
CGACCUCAGGUCAGACGUGGACCCGCUGAAUUUAAGCAUAUUAGUCAGCGAGGAAAAGAAACUAACGAGGAUUCCCUCAGUAACGGCGAGUGAAGAGGAAGAGCCCAGGCCGAAUCCCCGCCCGCGGUGGGGCGCGCGGAGGUGUGGCGUACGGAAGCCCCAUCCCCGGCGCGCUCUCGGGGGCCCAAGUCCUUCUGAUCGAGGCCCAGCCCGCGGACGGUGUGAGGCGGUAGCGGCCCCCCGGCGCGCCCGGCCCCGGGCUUCUCGGAGUCGGGUUGCUUGGGAAUGCAGCCCAAAGCGGGUGUAAACUCCAUCUAAGGCUAAAUACCGGCACGAGACCGAUAGCCAACAGUACCGUAAGGAAAGUUGAAAAGAACUUUGAAGAGAGAGUUCAAGAGGGCGUGAAACCGUUAAGAGGUAAACGGGUGGGGUCCGCGCAGUCGGCCCGGAGGAUUCAACCCGGCGGGCCAAGGUCGGCCGGCGGCGGGCGCCGUCGGAUCCCCGCCUCCGCCUCCCCUCCGUCCCUCCCCUUCGCCGGGCGGGCGGCCCAGGGGGGCGCCGGGACCGCCGCCCGGCCGCGUCCGGCCCCCGUCGGGCGCAUUUCCUCCGCGGCGGUGCGCCGCGACCGGCUCCGGGACGGCUGGGAAGGGCUGCGGCGGGCAGGUGGCCCGGCGCCGCGCGAGCGGCCGCCGGGUGUUAUAGCCGCCGGGCCCGGAUCGUCGCCGAAUCCCGGGCCGAGGAGAGGACCGCCGCCGCGCCCUCCCCCGGAGGGGGCGGCCCCCGGAGGGCCCCCGCGGCCGGACCGGCGUCGGCCGGCCGCGCGCGCGCCGCGCGCGUCCGCGCCGCCGCCGUACGCCGCCGCUCGCUCUCUCUCCGUUCCCCGCCCCGGGUCCGUCCCGGGCGCGGGGGCGGGGUCGGUGUCCGCGCGCGGCUCGGCGCGGCGCCGCGCGUGUGGCGCGCGCCUCCAGCCCGGCGCGGGCGAGGCGCGGGGGCGCCGGGGGGAACCUUCCCCCUUCUGUUCGGGCCGCCUCCGUUCCCGCGGGGGGCGGGCCCGUUCGGGGGACGGCCGCCGGCCCCGCGCCGCUGUCCGACCGGGCGGACUGCGCUCAGUGCGCCCCGACGCGCGCGCCGCCGGCCGGGCUCGGGCCACGCCAGGCGCCCGGGUCCGCGGCGACGUCGGCUACCCACCCGACCCGUCUUGAAACACGGACCAAGGAGUCUAGCACGCGCGCGAGUCGGCGGCUCGCGCGAAAGCCCGCGGCGCAAUGAAGGUGAGGGCCGGCGCCGCCGGCUGAGGUGGGAUCCCGGGCGCAGGCCGGAAGGCCCGGCGCACCACCGGCCCGUCUCGCCCGCCUCGCCGGGAGGUGGAGCAUGAGCGCGCGUGCUAGGACCCGAAAGAUGGUGAACUAUGCCUGGGCAGGCGAAGCCAGAGAAACUCUGGUGGAGUCCGUAGCGGUCCUGACGUGCAAAUCGGUCGUCCGACCCGGUAUAGGGGCGAAAGACUAAUCGAACCAUCUAGUAGCUGGUUCCCUCCGAAGUUUCCCUCAGGAUAGCUGGCGCUCGGGGCGGUGCAGUUUUACCCGGUAAAGCGAAUGAUUAGAGGUCUUGGGCCGAAACGAUCUCAACCUAUUCUCAAACUUUCAAUGGGUAAGACGCCCGGCUCGCUGGCGUGGAGCCGGGCCGUGGAAUGCGAGCGCUCAGUGGCCACUUUGGUAAGCAGAACUGGCGCUGCGGGAUGAACCGAACGCCGGGUUAAGGCGCCCGAUGCCGACGCUCAUCAGAGCCCAGAAAAGGUGUUGGUUGAUCUAGACAGCAGGACGGUGGCCAUGGAAGUCGGAACCCCUAAGGAGUGUGUAACAACUCACCUGCCGAAUCAACUAGCCCUGAAAAUGGAUGGCGCUGGAGCGUCGGGCCCAUACCCGCCGUCGCCGGCGGUGCGGAGCCGGGGGCUACGCCGCGACGAGUAGGAGGGCCGCUGCGGUGCGCCUGGAAGCCUGGGGCGCGGGCCCGGGUGGAGCCGCGCAGGUGCAGAUCUUGGUGGUAGUAGCAACUAUUCAAACGAGAGCUUUGAAGGCCGAAGUGGAGCAGGGUUCCAUGUGAACAGCAGUUGAACAUGGGUCAGUCGUCCUAAGCGAUAGGCGAGCGCCGUUCCGAAGGACGGGCGAUGGCCUCGUUGCCCUCAGCCGAUCGAAAGGGAGUCGGUUCAGAUCCCCGAAUCCGGAGCGGCGGAGACGGCGCCGCGAGGCGCCCAGUGCGGUAACGCAAGCGAUCCCGAGAAGCCGGCGGGAGCCCCGGAGAGUUCUCUUUCUUUGAAGGCCCGCUGCUUCGUGGAAAGCGCCGCGGUUCCGCGCGCCGGUGAGCCUCGCUGGCCGGAAAAUCCGGGAGAGGGGUAAAUCUCGCGCCGGCCCGACCCAAUCCGCACAGUUCUCCAAGGAACAGCCUCUGGCAUGCUUGCCAAUGAGUAAGGGAAGUCGGCAAGCCGAUCCGUAACUCGGGAAAG